AUUAUUUUUUCUAAAAAAUCUGUUCUUAUCAGUUUAAUAUCUGAUACGUCCCCCAUCGGGGGACUACAUAUUAAAUUGAUUUUUCGAACAGGGAGUCGGAAAUGGGGCUUGCUCCGUCCGCUCCACGCAUCGACCCGGUAUUGCAGUACCUCUGGGAACGGUGCAACACUU
rnacentral:snRNA from 13 species